AUUGAACGCUAGCGGCAGGCUUAAUACAUGCAAGUCGAACGGUAACAGGCCCGGCAACGGGUGCUGACGAGUGGCGCACGGGUGCGUAACACGUAUGCAACCUACCCUUAACCGGGACAUAACACUGAGAAAUUAGUGCUAAUAUUCCAUGGUAUUACGAAGAGGCAUCUUUUUGUAAUUAAAGAUUUAUUGGUUAGGGAUGGGCAUGCGUCCCAUUAGUUAGUUGGAGUGGUAACGGCACACCAAGACGAUGAUGGGUAGGGGUCCUGAGAGGGUUAUCCCCCACACUGGUACUGAGACACGGACCAGACUCCUACGGGAGGCAGCAGUAAGGAAUAUUGGGCAAUGGGCGGGAGCCUGACCCAGCCAUGCCGCGUGCAGGAAGACGGCCCUAUGGGUUGUAAACUGCUUUUGUUUGGGACUAACAGCCGGGUCGUGACCCGGCCUGCAGGUACCGAACGAAUAAGCAUCGGCUAACUCCGUGCCAGCCGCCGCAGUAAUAC
rnacentral:rRNA from 1 species